CUCCUACGGGAGGCAGCAGUGAGGAAUAUUGGACAAUGGGCGCAAGCCUGAUCCAGCCAUGCCGCGUGCAGGAAGAAGCAUCUAUGGUGUGUAAACUGCUUUUGUACAGGAAGAAACACUCCCUCGUGAGGGAGCUUGACGGUACUGUAAGAAUAAGGAUCGGCUAACUCCGUGCCAGCAGCCGCGGUAAUACGGAGGAUCCAAGCGUUAUCCGGAAUCAUUGGGUUUAAAGGGUCCGUAGGCGGUUUGAUAAGUCAGUGGUGAAAGCCCAUCGCUCAACGAUGGAACGGCCAUUGAUACUGUCAGACUUGAAUUACUAGGAAGUAACUAGAAUAUGUAGUGUAGCGGUGAAAUGCUUAGAUAUUACAUGGAAUACCAAUUGCGAAGGCAGGUUACUACUAGUGGAUUGACGCUGAUGGACGAAAGCGUGGGGAGCGAACAGGAUUAGAUACCCUGGUAGUCCACGCCGUAAACGAUGGAUACUAGCUGUUGGGUGCAAACUCAGUGGCUAAGCGAAAGUGAUAAGU
rnacentral:rRNA from 1 species